rnacentral:rRNA from 1 species
GACGAACGCUGGCGGCGUGCUUAACACAUGCAAGUCGAACGGAGAGGCCCUGCUUUUGUGGGGUGCUCGAGUGGCGAACGGGUGAGUAACACGUGAGUAACCUGCCCUUGACUUUGGGAUAACUUCAGGAAACUGGGGCUAAUACCGGAUAGGAGCUCCUGCUGCACGGUGGGGGUUGGAAAGUUUCGGCGGUUGGGGAUGGACUCGCGGCUUAUCAGCUUGUUGGUGGGGUAGUGGCUUACCAAGGCUUUGACGGGUAGCCGGCCUGAGAGGGUGACCGGCCACAUUGGGACUGAGAUACGGCCCAGACUCCUACGGGAGGCAGCAGUGGGGAAUAUUGCACAAUGGGCGGAAGCCUGAUGCAGCAACGCCGCGUGCGGGAUGACGGCCUUCGGGUUGUAAACCGCUUUCGCCUGUGACGAAGCGUGAGUGACGGUAAUGGGUAAAGAAGCACCGGCUAACUACGUG